AGCUUUCUGAAUCCGUGCUGAGACUUCGUCAGACACUAAACGAUUAGGGCUGGUCAGACUUUCAAGAUAAGUGAAGUU
rnacentral:pre_miRNA from 1 species